GCAUAAUCAGUCGGCUGAACAUGAGACUAUUAAUCUCAAGGUUGUGGGUUUGAGCCCCACGUCAGGCA